AUGGCCCCACCGUGGCCCGCCCCGCGCCUGCUCCUCCUCCGCCGCCUCGCCGCCGCGCGCGCCAUCUCCGGCCGGGCCUACCCGCCGCCCUCCGCCCCCACGUCCACGCCGGAGGCCUUCCACGCGCACCUCGCGUCGCUCGCGGCGCCCUCCCGCGCGGGCCACCCGGCCACGCUCCCGUCGCUCCUCGCCGCGCUCGCCCGCGCCCGCGCCGCGCGGCUGCCGCUCCUCCCGGCCACCCGCGCGCUCGCGGCCUCCGCGCUCCUCCGCCACGGCCGCCUCCCCGACGCGCUCGCGCACUUCAGCCUCCUCCCGGACUCCGCCGCGCCGCCCGCGCCGCUCUGCAACUCCCUGCUCGCCGCGCUCGCGUCGUCCGGGUCACUCGCCGCCGCGCGCAAGGUGUUCGGCAGAAUGCUGGCCAGCGCCGCCGAGCUGGACACCGUCGGCUUCGGGGUUUUUGCGAAGAGUGUGGGCAGGAGGGACGGGUUGGACGAGGUCCUGCGGCUGGUGGACGCGGUGCACCAUCAGGGGGAUUCGAUCAACAAGUCUGUUGUCGCGGCAAUGGUUGUCGAUGGUCUGUGUCGGGAGCGGAGGAUAGAGGAUGCUUGGCGGGCUUUGGAGGAUAUGAGGUUGCGUGGAUGGAAGCCAGAUUUUGUAGCGUACAGGAUUGUGUCCGAGGGGUUCAGGUUAUCAGAGAGGGCAGAGGAGGAAGGGAGGAUCUUGAAGCAGAAGAGGAAGCUCGGUGUUGCACCAAGAAAGGAGGACCACAGAGAGGUUUUGCUUGCGCUGGUGUCUGGCAGGCAGAUUUCUGACGCGAAGGAGAUGGCGGAAGCGAUUGUAUUAGGCGAUUUCCCAAUUGAUGACGAUGUGUUGAAUCUCUUGGUUUGUUCGGUGUCAGAGGUUGAUGCUGAUGCUGCAAUUAUGUUCUGCAAGUUCAUGAUAGGGAAAGAGAGAUUUCCAAGUAUACAGAUGAUCGUACAACUUUGUGAGGGCCUUUGCAAGAAUGGCAAGGGCGAUGAGAUGUGGGAGAUGUUUAGAGUGCUUUUGGAUAAGGGCUACUGCACAAGUGAGAGGGACUACCAUUUGGUGGUGUCAUUCUUGGGCAAGGCAGGGAAGGUCAGAGAGGCAUAUGAUGUGAUAAAGGAGUUAAAAAGGAAGAAGCUAGAUCCUGGCAUUUCAUCAUACAAUUCUCUCAUGGUAGCACUCUGCAGAAAUGACCUCCUUAGGCCUGCUAAGAAGCUGUGGGAUGAGAUGUUCACCAGUGGGUGUAGUCCAAAUCUGCAGACCUACAAUAUACUUAUAACAAAAUUUGCAGAAAUUGGUGAAAGUGAACAAGUCCAACAGCUGUUUGAUCACAUGGUCCUGAAAGGAGUGGCACCAGAUAGUACAACAUACACAUCAGUCAUUACUAUGUUGUGUCAAGAAAACAAAUAUGAACAGGCUGAGGAGAUCUUUAACAAAUCUGUAGCGCAGGAUCCUAAACUAGCUAGUUCAGUGUUAACUGUGUUUGUCAUUGCACUCUGUAAACAAGGUGGCUUCAAAGCAGCAGUGGGUGUUAUGUCAAGUCUUCCAUCCAAUAUUGAGAGCUUUAAUUCACAUGUCAUUCUGUUGAAGUGCCUAACAGAUGUUGAGGAAAUAGAAAUGGCUUCUGAGCACAUAAAGUGGCUUAGGCGUUACUGCAGCUCUGCUUUUCAGAAUAUAAUGAAUGAACUCAUGGCUUCUCUUUCCACUUCUGCUAGCCUUCAACCUGUCAGAAAGUUGGUCUGUUACUUACAUUCUCAGGGGCUUGUUAAUGAAGUUGGCCCAUGGAUGAAAUUGAUAGAAGAUGAUUAUGCUUGA
rnacentral:rRNA from 1 species